rnacentral:misc_RNA from 1 species
UCCGAGUUGACCCCGGCAGUAUCCCAUGAGUUCCCGCCAUUACGCGUUGGCAACUAACGAUAAGGGUUGCGCUCGUUGCUGGACUUAACCAAACACCUCACGGCACGAGCUGACGACAGCCAUGCAGCACCUAUAUAGAGACCCUUUCGAGAAACAUCAUCUCUGAUGUCGUCCUCUACAUUUCGAGCCCAGGUAAGGUUCUUCGCGUUGCAUCGAAUUAAACCACAUGCUCCACUGCUUGUGCGGGCCCCCGUCAAUUCUUUUGAGUUUCACCCUUGCGAGCGUACUCCCCAGGCGGCAUACUUAAUGCGUUAGCUCCGGAACAGGGGGGGUUGAGCCCUCCUACUCCUAGUAUGCAUCGUUUAAGGCAUGGACUAC